AUAACUUUCAACAAUGGAUCUCUUGGCUCUCGCAUCGAUGAAGAACGCAGCGAAAUGCGAUAAGUAAUGUGAAUUGCAGAAUUCAGUGAAUCAUCGAAUCUUUGAACGCAUCUUGCGCUCCUUGGUAUUCUGAGGAGCAUGCCUGUUUGAGUGUCAGUA
rnacentral:rRNA from 1 species